rnacentral:rRNA from 1 species
GCAGUCGCCGCGGGAAUACAGAGGGUGCGAGCGUUAAUCGGAUUUACUGGGCGUAAAGCGUGCGUAGGCGGCUUCUUAAGUCGGAUGUGAAAUCCCUGAGCUUAACUUAGGAAUUGCAUUCGAUACUGGGAAGCUAGAGUAUGGGAGAGGAUGGUAGAAUUCCAGGUGUAGCGGUGAAAUGCGUAGAGAUCUGGAGGAAUACCGAUGGCGAAGGCAGCCAUCUGGCCUAAUACUGACGCUGAGGUACGAAAGCAUGGGGAGCAAACAGGAUUAGAUACCCCAGUAGUCCCUGUCUCUUAUAC